rnacentral:lncRNA from 1 species
GAAGUUUUCUGAAAAUUACCUUCAAUGAUAUGCAGUUCUUGAUAUGGCUUGCUCCAAACACGAUCUGAUCACACUUGAGAAGCUAGCAGGAAGUGAUUAGAGAGGUUGCAAGGCUUUGGAUCCUGGAGUUCUUAAAUCUCCAAUAGUUGAGAUUCAAACUCAAAUUUCAAAUUGAAACUUCUCAAGUUUUCCUUUAGAAUGAGAGGGUUUCAAUGGGGGGCAAAGUUGGCGCGCAAAG